AGCUGUGAUGAGCCGAAGUAUAGACUGACCCGGUAUUGCCAUCAUCCGUGGUGGUUCUGACCUGGAAGUGAUCAAUUAAUCUUCUCUCUGAGCUG